GCCAAUUACUGUGGGCCCUUUUUACCUUACCCACCCUGUCAACUUUCCCUGUGGGAGGAAACCGGAGAACCCGGGGAAAACCCACGGCUUUCGGUAGAGCGUUGACUUUUACUCUUUUCAUAUGGGGACUGGGUUCGAAUCGCACUGAGAAGGUACUUGGUGAGACUCGAACCUGCAGCCUCAGAGGUGAAAGGCAAGUGCGCUAACCACUUGGCCACCGAAGC